UGUCAUAUGGUGAUAAUGGCCCGAUCGG
rnacentral:piRNA from 1 species